AACCGAUGAUGAAACGAUUCUGCCAAAUGACUCCUGCUGAUUAUAACCCUUUACCGUUCCAUUUUUGUCUGAGGUU
ensembl:snoRNA small nucleolar RNA SNORD47